rnacentral:rRNA from 1 species
AUACGGAGGGUGCAAGCGUUAAUCGGAAUUACUGGGCGUAAAGCGCGCGUAGGCGGUUUGUUAAGUCGGAUGUGAAAGCCCUGGGCUCAACCUGGGAACUGCAUUCGAAACUGAUUGACUAGAGUAUGGUAGAGGGUGGUGGAAUUCCUAGUGUAGCGGUGAAAUGCGUAGAUAUUAGGAGGAACAUCAGUGGCGAAGGCGACCACCUGGACUAAUACUGACGCUGAGGUGCGAAAGCGUGGGGAGCAAACAGGAUUAGAAACCCCAGUAGUCC